rnacentral:lncRNA from 1 species
CAUUCAAUGCCAGCUCAUGAAAGCAGCUGUGGGCUGUACCCUGCAAAGCCACAGAAGUGGAGCUGCCCAAGGCCUUGGGAGCCCACCCCUUGCAUCAGCAUAUCCUGAAUGGGAGACAUGGAGUCACAGGAAAUGUGGGAGUUUUAAGAUUAAAUGCCUGCCCUGCUCAGUUUGGGACUUUCAUUGGACCUGUAGCCCCUUUGUUUUGACCAAUUUCUUCCAUUUGUAACAGGAACAUUUACCCAAUGCCUGCACCUUCACUGUAUCUUGGAAAUAACUAACUUUUUUAUUAUUUUAUAGGCUCAUUGGUGGAAGGAACUUGCCUUGUCUCAGCUGUCAUGUAAGACAUGCUGCCUUGCUUCCCCUUCACCUUCCACCAUGAUUCUAAGUUUCCUGAGGUCUCUCCAGCCAUGCAGAACUUUUCAAACCCCUGGAAUCAUCUGAUUGGUUCGCUUAAAAGUCCACCUUCGUCCAAUUGGUUUUCUCAAAGAGGACAGAUUUGCACAUGGCAAACGUGACUCAUGAACAAAUUCUCUAUGUGUCCCCAUGAAUGAAAGGCCAGUUGCUAGAGAAAGAAAAUCAUAUAUUGGGCAGAUGCCUAAAAGUUGUUACCUGAUGACUGUGAGAGAGAGGAGAAGCAGUAAACUUUUAGUGGAAAAUGAAUAAAUAAAAGGACAUCAGGACGAGAUGCAAAGGAAAGAUGAGAAGAUGAUGACUUUGAAUCAGAAUGGCAGAGAGAUUUGAAGUCAACAAUCACAGAAGAAUCAUCCAUAAUUUAGUGGGUAAUCUCUCUACUCUUGGUCUCAAGUGGACAUUGAGUAAGUAUUACCAGAUACAUAUAUGUUUCAGAUGUGUAGAUUUAUAGUAUAUACUUGCAUCAGGAUUAGGCAGUAUGAGAUUCAACCUAUGAAUAUUUUCCCACUUCUGUUACUUCUUCUACAUUUAUAAAUCAAGAGUAACACAAAAAUUCAUUUCAUAAUACAUUAUUUUGAUAUUCUUUCAUCAUUUGAAUGAAAAGCAGCUUAUAUUUAAAAGGGAGAGAAGAAAAAAAACCAACUAACCUUGAGUUUCUGCUGAAGUAGCUGAGGAUCCAAGAUGCUCUAGGCUGCAAGCUGAAGUUUGAAGAAAAUUCAGCCUGCUGACUUUUAUCCUCUCUUUUGGACAAGAUGACUGUGGGCAAUUUGGGCCUCUGGCUAUGAAACAUGAACCUGUCUAUCCGCGUUAUUAAUGGAUACUUGAUGGGAUGAGCUAACAAUGACUUUGGUUUCUUUGAAAAAAGGAAAUUUCUUGAGAUAGGAAAAGCCAAAUAAACAGAAAUACGGUGACAACAACUAACAUUUAUAGACUGCUUAUGAUGUGCUAAGCAUUGUAUUAAGUACUUUAAAUGGUUUAUUUAAUUUAAUACUUACAGUCAAUCUAUGACAUGCAUACUAUCAUUACCCCUAUUUUAUAGAUGAGAAAAUCAAGGUUUCAAGAAGUUAAGUAACUACUCAAGCUCACAUUAGCUAGAAAUAGAGUAGAACUGAAAUUUUGCUCUAUAUACUUUAGAACCAUCAUUUUCCUAUAGACCUUAACAUAUUAUAUUUUGCUGCAUCCUUCAUGUGGAGAAUGAAAUUCCAGGCCAAUCAACAAGUCAUGAAAGUAAGCCCUCCUCUCUCCGGGUUAAAAUAUAAUUGGACUUGGCCAGGCGCGGUGGCUCACGCCUGUAAUCCCAGCACUUUGGGAGGCAGAGGUGGGCGGAUCAUGAGGUCAGGAGAUCGAGACUAUCCUGGCUAACACAGUGAAACCCCGC